GUGGGGAAUUUUGGACAAUGGGCGCAAGCCUGAUCCAGCAAUGCCGCGUGCAGGAAGAAGGCCUUCGGGUUGUAAACUGCUUUUGUACGGAACGAAACGGUCCGGGUUAAUACCCUGGGCUAAUGACGGUACCGUAAGAAUAAGCACCGGCUAACUACGUGCCAGCAGCCGCGGUAAUACGUAGGGUGCAAGCGUUAAUCGGAAUUACUGGGCGUAAAGCGUGCGCAGGCGGUUUUGUAAGACAGUGGUGAAAUCCCCGGGCUCAACCUGGGAACUGCCAUUGUGACUGCAAGGCUAGAGUGCGGCAGAGGGGGAUGGAAUUCCGCGUGUAGCAGUGAAAUGCGUAGAUAUGCGGAGGAACACCGAUGGCGAAGGCAAUCCCCUGGGCCUGCACUGACGCUCAUGCACGAAAGCGUGGGGAGCAAACAGGAUUAGAUACCCGAGUAGUCC
rnacentral:rRNA from 1 species